rnacentral:rRNA from 1 species
CCUACGGGUGGCAGCAGUGAGGAAUAUUGGUCAAUGGACGAGAGUCUGAACCAGCCAAGUAGCGUGAAGGAUGACUGCUCUAUGGGUUGUAAACUUCUUUUAUCUGGGAAUAAAAUGUUCCACGUGUCGGAUUUUGUAUGUACCAUAUGAAUAAGGAUCGGCUAACUCCGUGCCAGCAGCCGCGGUAAUACGGAGGAUCCGAGCGUUAUCCGGAUUUAUUGGGUUUAAAGGUAGCGUAGGUGGAUUGUUAAGUCAGUUGUGAAAGUUUGCGACUCAACCGUAAUAUUGCAGUUGAAACUGGCAGUCUGGAGUACAGUAGAGGUGGGCGGAAGUCGUGGUGUAGCGGUGAAGUGCUAAGAUAUCACGAAGAACUCCGAUUGCGAAGGCAGCUCACUGGACUGCAACGGACACUGAGGCUCGAAAGUGUGGGUAUCAAACAGGAUUAGAUACCCCUGUAGUC